UACGGGGGGAGCAAGCGUUGUUCGGAUUUACUGGGCGUAAAGGGCGCGUAGGCGGCCACUGCAAGUCGGUUGUGAAAUCUCCGGGCUUAACCCGGAAAGGUCAAUCGAUACUGCAGGGCUAGAGUGCAGAAGGGGCAACUGGAAUUCUCGGUGUAGCGGUGAAAUGCGUAGAUAUCGAGAGGAACACCUGCGGCGAAGGCGGGUUGCUGGGCUGACACUGACGCUGAGGAGCGAAAGCCAGGGGAGCAAACGGG
rnacentral:rRNA from 1 species